CUUAGCUGAUACCACCCUGAAUGUGCAGAUUCAUCUGAUCUCAGAAGCCAAGCAGGGUCGGGCCUGUUUAGUACUUGGAUGUGAGAUCAUUUAUCUUAAUAUAGAGAUAAUCAAGGUACUUUUAAGA
rnacentral:rRNA from 1 species